rnacentral:lncRNA from 1 species
CCUUAGUGCCUGUUAAAUCUGGACAUUGAAGCACCAGGCAAACCUGGGCUAAUGAAGCCUCAACACCCCAAAGAUGCCUUGUUUAGUGCAGUUAUGGAAUCCCCCUGUGACAUGUCUGUGGUGCAGGUUGUCCAGAGAAGUGGACAGAGAGAACAAAGAGGACAGAGAUGCAACUGGACCUGGAGAUAGCGGGAAGGACUACAACCGGAUCAGCAGCAGGGAAGUGACAGUGACAGCAACAAGGACAGUGAAUGAACUGAGACUGUAAACCCCAAAUUGGGGGUUGGACUAAAGGGCUACGAUUUGGAUAGGUAAGGGUGGAGGGAGGGUCUGCAGGGGCGUAGAGGAUUGGAUGCAUUUAUUGUAACGGGAAGUGCAGGUUUCUUAAUGCAGUUUUAAGAUGUGUGAUGGAAAGCUUAUAACCAAGAAUGCAUAUAUAUAACUCUCUAUAUAUAGAAAUAUAUUUUGAUUAAAAAAAAAAAAAAAGUCUCACUGAGAAUCCCACCAGCCUUGUUUUCCUGUGUCCCCUGCACCUGCUGGGACAGACUUCACCUUGCCCACUCCCGGGCACUUGAAUUCUUGGUGCUUUCAGUGCCUUCUCCAUUAACUCACAAGGCCCAGCUGGAUGCCUGUUGUCAAAUGAUUUCCAUGAUACAAAGAAGAAAAGCUAAAUUCUUUUAAUCCUUUCAGGGUGUCGAGCCAGCUCAGAAAAAGCCACCUCCUUUGAGC